rnacentral:tRNA from 1 species
GGAAGUGGAAAGCUCACUGGUGGGGCUCCCGGACUUCAAAUCCGGUGUGACGGCCAAAAGCUGUCAGGUGGGUUCGAUUCCCAUGCACUUCCGCC